GACGAGCUCUCCAAACGUUAUUCGGUAUCACUGGGCUUAAAGAGUUCGUAGGCGGCUUUGUAGGUGGGGUGUGAAAGCCCUCGGCUCAACCGAGGAACUGCGCUCCAAACCGUAAGGCUUGAGGGGUAUAGGGGUAAGCGGAACAGAUGGUGGAGCGGUGAAAUGCAUUGAUAUCAUCUGGAACACCGGUGGCGAAAGCGGCUUACUGGAUACUUUCUGACGCUGAGGAACGAAAGCUAGGGUAGCGAACGGG
rnacentral:rRNA from 1 species